UCUUCUUCUCUUCCUUUUCUAUAGUACUAAUAUAGUAACUAAAUAUAUAGAUAUUGCUGAGUUUUGAGGGUGUUUUUUUGCAGAAAUUGGAUCUGUUCAAUAGAAGGAUUUGAUCAAUCUUUCAUUUUUGAUGAGAUGUGGGUGUUUAUAAACACCGUUUUCAAAUCACACAAGCGAGGUAAACUACGCUAAGCCGUCGAGGAAUUGGAGGGAUUUUACAUACAUAUAUGAGAUUAAAAGCCCUAAAAAUUAAAGAAGAGAUCUUUAGAAAAAGCCCUAAUUGAGUUUCAAGAAGAAGGUAUGAUGAGCUAUAACUCUUCUGGUUUUUAGAUCAUGAUGUUUGUAUCUAUCUCAAAUUUGUUUAUAUAUUCAUAACAAAAACAGUUGCUUCUGCCCAUUUCUUGCAGCAGGAAAUUUUGACUAAUUCUGUGAUGGGAGUUGGUGCCAUGUUGCCAUCUUCUUCUGGUUCAAUCUUGUUUAAUGAUUUGAAUUUUCAUUUUUUCUUUUUUCUCUCUCUACUUCACUGUAAAAAAACAAACAAUAUAGUCUCUAGAUUUUUCAGAAAGUCUCAAUCAUGAAGUUUACAAUAUAUGUCCAAGUUUAUUACAUGUAUUAACUAAAACAAUCAGUCAUUUUCAUCACUUCAUGAUUUUUGUUUAAAGAGUGGGGGCUCCUUUGCACUAGAUGUCUUAAUUUCAUUUAAUUACUCAACUAAUUCUUUAAUCAUCAAAAUUCUUGCCUCCACUAUUUGUGGAUGAAAUUGAUAUGAUUAAUGUUGUACAUCUUUCCCUUUUAUAUAUGUUGGGUUUUCUCUCUUUAAUUAUUUUUGGAUCUCAAAUAGAUGCAUGUUCAAUAUAACACAUCAUUUAUAAAUUUCAGUUUUUAAUCAUUAAUUAAUCUUUGUUGUGUAGUACUAAAGAUUAUGUGUGUGUGUUUGUUUUUGUGAGAAACUUGCAGCUGAUCAUCUCAACGACGUCGAACUGUAUAAUUUGCACAAGCAUGUUCAAGCCCUGGAUUUAGACAAGAUCCAUUUGAUGCUCUUGAAUUCUUGGUUUUGUCAUCAAAUGGAAGAAUUAAUUUUAAUUUUUAGCAUAUUUUAAUGGAUAUUGAAGAAUCCCAAGGACAAUCUUAUUUCAAGAGAAAGGGACCUAGCUAGGUUAAUUUUAUUGAUGAACAAUCUUAGAUCAAUUGUUUUUAAUUACAUUGUAAAAUCAAUGGUAUCUAGUCUUUGUUUCCACAUAUAACUAUAUAUCUCCUAUAUUUCUUUGUAUAUUGUAUCAUGAUGGAGUGUAAUUUGAGAUGGUGAAUAUAUGGAUUUAGGAGUUAAUUAA